CUUCAAUCUUGUCAAUCUUAUUUCAUCAUAUUAAGGAAAUGUAAUCAAAUCCCCCUAUUUUCUCUAUUCCCUUGUAGAUGACGAUAUGAUUUCAAUUUCAACAAAUUUGUGGCAUUUCUCUAAUCAGUAUAUCAUUUUACCAGUCGUUUUCAUUUUCAUCCUCCUCUCUGGUUCGACGAAAUUCGCCAUGGAUAGCAGAAGAGUUGAAGGUUCCAUUUCAUUUCCAUCCUCCUCUCUGGUUAUACGGCAAUCUGAGCUAGUUUGAAAGAGAAAUAUUGCAGCGACGGCUUGAAGAAGGUUCGAGGAAACAAAGCUGGGGGUGGGGGAUCCUGGAGAAGUGAAGUUCAAUAAACUAAAUCAAUAAGUUCGUUGCAUAUUGUUAUGUUGCUCGCUGAGUGGUUUUCUGAUCGUCGUUUCGCGAUGGUGUUCGGCCAUGGAGGCUCUCGGCUUAGCCGUCUGUGUGCGUGGAAGAAUGGACUACAAGAUGGUGGUUUCUCGGCUCUCCGUUACAGUAGGGAGAGAGAGAAACAGAGGCCGUAAAUCAGCCGGUUGCUACAUCGGGAAUUCGACGUUGGUUGCCGAAGAUGUUGCGGCUGUUGGCUGGGGAGAUGGAGAGAGUAUUUCGACUUUUCGAUUCGUGAUAGUGGUAGCCUGAAGAUGAAGAGGAACGACUACGUGUUGACGACUCACAGCCUAGUGCCCGGUCGGCGCAGAAACGAGCCGGCGAAGGGAGUCCACUUAGGCUCCUGUUUGAUUUUCAGAAAAAGAAAGAGAGGUGUUCCCGUCGUUUUUCUUGCUGUUCAACAGUCUCCUCGUCAUGAUUGUUGAUUUGUUUUAUUUUUACACCUUUGUUGUUUUUGUUCUUAAUUCCGGCUGAUCUAUGUUAAUGAUGUAUUAUGUGAUAAUUUGUUUCGAAAUUAUGAUCUAUGUAUUAUUUUGGGUUAAGUACC